rnacentral:misc_RNA from 1 species
GAAAUGCGAUAAGUAGUGUGAAUUGUAGAAUUCAGUGAAUCAUCGAAUCUUUGAACGCACAUUGCGCCCUUUGGUAUUCCUUAGGGCAUGCCUGUUCGAGCGUCAUUUGUAACCUCAAGCUCAGCUUGGUGUUGGGUGUCUGUCCCCGCCCCGCGCGGGGACUCGCCUCAAAAAGAUUGGCGGCCGGUACGUUGGCUUCGAGCGCAGCAGAAACGCGAACUCGAGGCCCGACGGAUCGGCGACCAGAAGUCACUUCUUCCACAGCUUGACCUCGGAUCAGGUAGGGAUACCCGCUGAACUUAAGC